GAGUGGCGCACGGGUGAGUAACACGUGGGAAACCUACCCUUCAGCGGGGGAUAACCGUCGGAAACGAUGGCUAAUACCGCAUAGGUCUUUUAACCGCCUGGUUGAAAGAGGAAAGACGGCUUCGGCUGUCACUGAAGGAUGGUCCCGCGGUGCAUUAGCUAGUUGGUAAGGUAACGGCUUACCAAGGCGAUGAUGCAUAGCCGACCUGAGAGGGUGAUCGGCCACAUUGGGACUGAGACACGGCCCAAACUCCUACGGGAGGCAGCAGUAGGGAAUCUUCCGCAAUGGACGCAAGUCUGACGGAGCAACGCCGCGUGUGUGAAGAAGGUCUUCGGAUCGUAAAGCACUGUUAUUAGAGAAGAACAACCGGUAGAGUAACUGUUACCGGCUUGACGGUAUCUAACCAGAAAGCCACGGCUAACUACGUGCCAGCAGCCGCGGUAAUACGUAGGUGGCAAGCGUUGUCCGGAUUUAUUGGGCGUAAAGGGAGCGCAGGCGGUGACUUAAGUCUGAUGUGAAAGCCCACGGCUCAACCGUGGAAGGUCAUUGGAAACUGGGUCACUUGAGUGCAGAAGAGGAAAGUGGAAUUCCAUGUGUAGCGGUGAAAUGCGUAGAUAUAUGGAG
rnacentral:rRNA from 1 species